UACGUAGGUGGCAAGCGUUGUCCGGAUUUAUUGGGUUUAAAGGGUGCGUAGGCGGCUUUGCAAGUCGGGUGUGAAAGCCCUCAGCUUAACUGAGGAAGUGCGCCCGAAACUGCUUGGCUUGAGUACCGGAGAGGAUGGUGGAAUUCCCGAAGUAGAGGUGAAAUUCGUAGAUAUCGGGAGGAACACCGGUGGCGAAGGCGACCAUCUGGACGGAUACUGACGCUGAGACGCGAAAGCGUGGGUAGCAAACAGG
rnacentral:rRNA from 1 species